GACAAAGGAUGGCGUCCCUUGAACGGAUAGACUUUCACGUGGCUGUAACAAAUAUGGUGAAAUGAUCGAUCAACGUGGAAGAGCGGGCGCCUCGUUUAUGGAAAAUAACAACUGAACAGACCGCGGUACACGCCUGCCUUUCCGACUGGAUAGCUCCCCAAUGUUCUUUGGUUGCUGCUCAGAGAAUACCACGGAUGGAAAGGACUAGGAGAGGUAUACGUAGUGAGCAAGUAUGGUCUAGUUUCGCUCGCGCUGAUGGAAGAAGCAGCUGCAAGAUGUAGCCAGAAUUGAGAGCGUACCGAAGGGCAUGGAAUUUGAACAUAACAAGUAGAUUCACAAGACACUGGCUGCAACCAGGAUUAACCACUGAUCGACUGAACCAUAUCCAACUUACAAGUUUAUUUGUUUAUUAAGAUUCAAUACAGAAGUGUAAGGGGCGAGGGAACAGGUAAGGACACCUUUGCCGGCCCUCGCCCCGACUUAAAAAUACAAGUGUGAUUCAGCUAACGAAAUAUAGAAACGGUCCAUUACUUUUAUGUAGAACGCAGUUUUGAGUGUAAUCAUUAGUUUCAUGUGUUAGACGAACACAAACUGUUUUAACGUUUCCUUUUAUCAUCCUUUACUCCUGGGGUGGCUGGAAAGUUAAGAAAUCGGCCAAAUAGACGGAUAACAUGCAAGAGGGGUUUGUCCGUUAUAGGAGUACAUUUUGCUCAGGUCGGCAAACUGUAAACCUUUAGCGGACUAACUCCUCGGACAUAAUAUCUGUCUAUUUGGUCUAUUUCUCUUUCCAGCCGCUUUUAAUAGUCACAGCUUAUAAAUGCACCACGUAUUUACUGAUAGCGUCUACGAAAAUUAUCAUCCUUUGAUAUUGCCAAGAAGAGUAAGAUAUGUAUUGUCUGCUUUUCAACACACCUUGUCAUGUAUGUAUGAAAGGAAUACGCCUACCUUGUGAAAGAUAUCGAUGUAGUUCAAAAUUGAUCAUCAUAAUUCAAUGAGCUAAGUAUCAUAAACAGGUAUGAUUGAUGACUACGCUGUAACGUCUUAUUCAAUUGAGUAGUUCUUUUGUGAUCCAUUCAACAGGUUGACAAAAUAUUUGU